UACGUAGGGGGCAAGCGUUGUCCGGAUUUAUUGGGCGUAAAAGGCUUGUAGGUGGCCACGCCAAUUCGGAUGUGAAAGCCCCCGGCUCAACUGGGGAGGGUCACGCGAUACUGAUCGACUCGAAGGCAGGAGAGGGUAGUGGAAUUCCCGGUGUAGUGGUGAAAUGCGUAGAUAUCGGGAGGAACACCAGUGGCGAAGGCGACUACCUGGCCUGUUCUUGACGCUGAGGCGCGAAAGCUAGGGGAGCAAACGGG
rnacentral:rRNA from 1 species